rnacentral:rRNA from 1 species
CAUGCAAGUCGAGGGGCAGCAUGGUCUUAGCUUGCUAAGGCCGAUGGCGACCGGCGCACGGGUGAGUAACGCGUAUCCAACCUGCCUUACACUCUUGGACAGCCUUCUGAAAGGGAGAUUAAUACAAGAUGUUAUCAUGAGUAAGCAUUUUCGCAUGAUUAAAGGUUUACCGGUGUAAGAUGGGGAUGCGUUCCAUUAGAUAGUAGGCGGGGUAACGGCCCACCUAGUCUUCGAUGGAUAGGGGUUCUGAGAGGAAGGUCCCCCACAUUGGAACUGAGACACGGUCCAAACUCCUACGGGAGGCAGCAGUGAGGAAUAUUGGUCAAUGGACGAGAGUCUGAACCAGCCAAGUAGCGUGAAGGAUGAAGGUUCUAUGGAUUGUAAACUUCUUUUAUACGGGAAUAAACGAAUCCACGNGUGGAUUUUUGCAUGUACCGUAUGAAUAAGGAUCGGCUAACUCCGUGCCAGCAGCCGCGGUAAUACGGAGGAUCCGAGCGUUAUCCGGAUUUAUUGGGUUUAAAGGGAGCGUAGAUGGGUUGUUAAGUCAGUUGUGAAAGUUUGCGGCUCAACCGUAAAAUUGCAAUUGAUACUGGCAGUCUUGAGUACAGUUGAGGUAGGCGGAAUUCGUGGUGUAGCGGUGAAAUGCUUAGAUAUCACGAAGAACUCCGAUUGCGAAGGCAGCUUACUAACCUGUAACUGACAUUGAUGCUCGAAAGUGUGGGUAUCAAACAGGAUUAGAUACCCUGGUAGUCCACACGGUAAACGAUGAAUACUCGCUGUAGGCGAUAUACAGUCUGCGGCCAAGCGAAAGCAUUAAGUAUUCCACCUGGGGAGUACGCCGGCAACGGUGAAACUCAAAGGAAUUGACGGGGGCCCGCACAAGCGGAGGAACAUGUGGUUUAAUUCGAUGAUACGCGAGGAACCUUACCCGGGCUUAAAUUGCAACCGAAUAUGGCGGAAACGCUAUAGCUAGCAAUAGCGGUUGUGAAGGUGCUGCAUGGUUGUCGUCAGCUCGUGCCGUGAGGUGUCGGCUUAAGUGCCAUAACGAGCGCAACCCUUUGCCGAUAGUUACUAACAGGUCAUGCUGAGGACUCUGUCGGGACUGCCAUCGUAAGAUGUGAGGAAGGUGGGGAUGACGUCAAAUCAGCACGGCCCUUACGUCCGGGGCUACACACGUGUUACAAUGGGGGGUACAGAGGGCUGCUACCACGCAAGUGGAUGCCAAUCCCAAAAACCUCUCUCAGUUCGGAUUGAAGUCUGCAACCCGACUUCAUGAAGCUGGAUUCGCUAGUAAUCGCGCAUCAGCCACGGCGCGGUGAAUACGUUCCCGGGCCUUGUACACACCGCCCGUCAAGCCAUGGGAGCCGGGGGUACCUGAAGUGCGUAACCGCAAGGAGCGCCCUAGGGUAAAACUGGUGACUGGGGCUAAGUCGUAACAAGGUAACC